rnacentral:lncRNA from 10 species
CUUUGUCUACACAGUACAUAUACCAGGUUUCUGACCUGUGUUUUGAAGAUGAAGAAAAACCGAAGCUAUAAGGACUGAGAUAAAAUGCCAAGGACAUAUAGCUUGAAAAAGGCAUGGCUAGAAUGUGCACUCAGUAUGACCUCAGCACCCAAGCUCUUUACCAAUAUAUGCUGCAAUCUUAGGCUCAUCAACUGCACACAGUGAAUUGUGGUGCUACUUCGUCUAAGCCUGCAUUCUCCUUCAGAGCCUACACCUCCCUUUCAGCUGUUUUCACCUUCACUGUUCCAAAAAAAGCAGACUUUGAAAACUUAAGAAAUG